AAUUAUUAAUACUGUGUCAGUUGGGAGCACCAUCCAUCUUCGCUAAAGUCAUAGAAUUUGAGCUUUUACUAAUUUCCCAAAUAUGUCGAUCGUACUACUUAUUGUCGGAGCCACCAUUGUGAUCGGGAUGUACAACAAAUUUUUCUACGACAUUCCUGUCGAUUUAUAUCCGAAUUACUUCGACUUAUAUCCCCUUGAUACGUACAAUUACGAAUAAUGCACUGUGAUUAAUUGUUUAUUUGCAAUAAAACUUAACCAUUACUGUUCGCGGAUAUACAAUAGAGUUGGGACUAACAUAAAUUAUUUUGAAAGGUUUAACCAUUCACUUUAUGCAGUGUUGUGAAAACUGUAUCGAAAUCACAUCUAUUCUGCAAAAUCGGAUAAAAAAUCAAGUUUUUAUGGGCAUUAGACCCUUUAUCGGAAAAUCGGUCUAUAAAGCAGCUAUAUCAAAAUAUGGUCCGAUUUGGCCCGUUCAAGAACUUAACCAGCGUGCAUCAAUGAGACGUAUCUGUGCCAAAUUGCAACUCAAUAUCUCACAUUUUCGGUCGGAAAUUGAUAUUUCGAUGUGUUGUAAACGCAAUGACUAAAUGAAUAUUCCCCCUAUCCUCCGGUGGUGGGUAUAAAAAUAGGCCAAAAAUUCUGCAAGAGUAUGGCGAAACCCUUUUAAAGCACCUAACUCAACUAGUCAAAAAUGGCGUAUGCAACAUUCAUCAAGGACAUGUCGAUUUGAAACUACAAAAAAUGCAGACCAAGAUGAAGGAGCAUAUGAGGACCAAAAUCCAAUUUGUCAUCUAAUAUGACACCUAAGCGUUCCAGUUGAUCUACCAAUUGUAUAGCGAUGCCAUUAUGGAAAAUAUCGAAAGAUGUCGGUUGAGAAGAAAAUAUCAUGGCCUUCGUCUCCUCAUGAUUAACCUUUAAUUUAUUCCGUGCCAUCCAAUCCUGUAACAUGUGCAUGUUGUCAUAUACCAUGGAUCUAUGCUCUCCUGUAACUAAAAUUUGAAUAUCAUCAGCAAAUAAAUACAUAGAGCAAUAAUCACCAUCUCCAACAAUGAAA